UACGGGAGGAGCAGUGGGGAAUAUUGCACAAUGGGCGCAAGCCUGAUGCAGCCAUGCCGCGUGUAUGAAGAAGGCCUUCGGGUUGUAAAGUACUUUCAGUCGUGAGGAAGGUGUUAAGGUUAAUAACCUUAGCAAUUGACGUUAGCGACAGAAGAAGCACCGGCUAACUCCGUGCCAGCAGCCGCGGUAAUACGGAGGGUGCGAGCGUUAAUCGGAAUUACUGGGCGUAAAGGGCACGCAGGCGGUUAAUUAAGUUGGAUGUGAAAUCCCCGGGCUUAACCUGGGAAUGGCAUUCAAGACUGGUUAGCUAGAGUCUUGUAGAGGGGGUAGAAUUCCAUGUGUAGCGGUGAAAUGCGUAGAGAUGUGGAGGAAUACCGGUGGCGAAGGCGGCCCCUGGACAAGACUGACGCUCAUGUGCGAAAGCGUGGGGAGCAAACGAGGGAUUAGAU
rnacentral:rRNA from 1 species